UUCCCUGUGUGUGGUCGUACCCCACAGCUAACUCCUGCUGGCCUGUUCAAAUGACAGUGCCCUAGAAAGCCAGUAUCUGGCAUUGUCAGCUUUCUUGGCUUUGUGCAUGGUAAACCUGGUGUUUCUAUUGAUACAGUA